CACGCUGUAAACGAUGAAAACUAAGUAUUGCCGCGAGGCAGUGCUGUAGCUAACGCAUUAAGUUUUCCGCCUGGGGAGUACGCUCGCAAGAGUGAAACUUAAAGGAAUUGACGGGGGCCCGCACAAGCGGCGGAGCAUGCGGAUUAAUUCGAUGCAACGCGAAGAACCUUACCAAGGCUUGACAUAUAGAGGAAACGGCCAGAGAUGGUCGCCCCGCAAGGUCUCUAUACAGGUGG
rnacentral:rRNA from 1 species